CGAGCUCUCGCGCACUUUCUUCUUAGCAUUGUGUGUGUACGUUCGCUCAGCUGUUCUGGUCAGAAGCGAUCGUGGCUCAUCCGAUUGCACAAAUUUUUGAAGCUUUGGAGUUUAUUUUUAGUAGCAGUGCCAUGUCGUUUUGGUACAAUCCUCGUGGAUUUUUGCUGCGUAAGAGCACGUUGUUCGUUCUCUGAUCUAUUCGAUAUGAAAAAACGUUUUCUUCAUUGAUUGACAGACUUCGUUCACGAGUUACCACGGUUAUCAGAAAUUUGACAUUAAUCCGGGAUCGAUGUGCUCCGCAAAUUGACGUUUAAUUUUGACCGUAAUAGUUAAGGAUUAACCAUGAAGAAGACACGUUCAAAUAUAUUUCGUGACAUUUAUUAUCAGCCCUACAAUGAUUACACCAGGAUGAAGCUUUAUUCCAGCAGCAAAGCAAGUCUUCAAAUGAUGCAACGUAUGGCAUUGUUGAAGAGAUUAAAAGUUCACAAUGGUUGUGUAAACUCUGUUUGUUGGAAUGCUACUGGAGAAUUGAUAUUGUCUGGUAGUGAUGACCAGCAUCUUGUCCUUACGAAUGCUUAUAAUUAUGAAGUAUUAACAGACUAUAAGACCAGUCAUAGAGCAAAUAUAUUUAGUGCAAAGUUUUUGCCUAAUAGUGGUGAUCAUCGGAUAGUUUCUUGUAGUGGUGAUGGCAUUAUUUUGUAUACAGAUUUAAUAAGAAGAACAAAAACAUUUCAUAAUCAAUUUAAUUGUCAUGUCGGUACUACAUAUGAAAUAGCGACAAUACCCGGUGAGCCGCAUAAUUUUUUAAGCUGUGGGGAAGAUGGAACUGUGAGAUGGUUUGAUCUUAGAAUAAAGGACAAGUGUAAUACUUCAAGGUGCACGGAGGAUGUGUUAGUUUCUUGUGAAAGAGCUAUAACUGCUUUGUCUGUAAAUCUUGCUUCACCCCAUCAAAUAGCGAUAGGUUGUUCUGACAGUACAGUUAGAAUACUUGACAGAAGAACACUUGGAACACCAGCUACUGGCUGGACAGAUACGCCUGGAGCAGUAAAGGCCUUAUGUACUUUCACUGUCCCGGAAUUUGAAGGGAAUUCUUACAGAAUAACAUCAUUGAAUUAUAGUCCAGAUGGGCAGGAUGUUCUUGUUAGUUAUAGCAGCGAUCAUCUUUACCUGUUCAAUGUGAAGGACCAAGCUAGUAUACAGUUAAAGAAAGAUGUCGCAGUUAGAAAAGGAGAGGGUAAGAAGCAAAGAUUACGUUCGCCAUUGCCAGUACGUAGACUAAGACUUAGAGGAGACUGGUCUGAUACCGGUCCCGAUGCUCGACCUGAAUGCGAGGGUGGUCGACGUAGCGGUACAGAAAUUGCUCAAGCCAGACCUGUUCUUCAAACUUCUUUAAUGCAGAGAAUGACUGAUGUUCUCAGUAGAAUGUUAAAUGACCCAGCCACUAGAGCCGCUUUAUGCGGCGGCGGCGAAGAUAGCUUAGAAGGCGUGAUUGAUCAUCAAGAUAACACUCAAAAUAGCAACGAAAGCGUUACGGAAUCAAACGAAGAGAGACGAGACAACGAAACCGAAAGGGUUGAAAGAGCUCCGACUCAGGCUAAUCAAGAAAUAGCUGUUUCAGAGCAACAACCAGAUAGAUUAGAAAGUCCAAGUACUAGCGGUACGCAAAGUAAUCCUGGGACAAGUUACUCUGUAGAAACGAAAGAAGAAAUGCCAUCCAAUGAAACAAUGCCUUUGAAGCAAACGAUCGAUGAGAGUUCAUCGUCGGUCGAAUCCAAAUCACAUGUUCCUAUGGAAAUUGAAUCUAGUCAAGUAGAAACACAACAGUGUUUUGCUCAACCGUGUUCAUCGCGUACUAUGGAUAAGUCCAGUGAUCUACCGGAAGAUGAUCAAAGUAGCAAUGACGACUCUCCUUGUAGCAGUAUGGAAAAUAAACAAGAAGGACAUAUGAUGGAAAACCUUCAAGAUAGAUUAACGAAAAUGAGAGUCGGAUUCCUUGAAAAACACGGCACUGAACCUGCUGUAAGUUUAACUUAUACGGAUAAAAGUUCAUCAAGUGCAACGAUAUCUCUUGGUGUAGCCGAUGAGAUGAUCCGUGAUGGUUAUCAUGCGGGACCAUCUGGAAGUAGUGGAACAUUCUCGGGCAGAAAUCAUGACAAACAUAUACGAUAUAGUGAUAUACAAGAAAAGACUGAUGAAAGCGCUUUUAGUGAUAGCGAGGAUGAAGAUAUACAAGCUGGAGGAAGAUUAGGAAGUUCAGCAGAUACAGAAAUGGAGGAAGCUAUGGGAGAUGCUCCAACGCGUCGAGGAUCGGCGAAUUUCGACAAAACGUGCGUAACGGAGCUUCGUGUCAAGCAGAAAUAUAUGGGACACCGUAACGCUAGUUUCUUUAGGACCAUGAUUAAAGAAGCAAACUUUUGGGGCAACGAUUUCGUCAUGUCGGGUAGCGAUUGUGGCCAUGUGUUCAUAUGGGAGAAAGACACGGCCAGGUUAUGCAUGUUACUGGAAGCAGAUCAACAUGUCGUUAACUGUUUGCAACCACAUCCGUAUUUACCACUGCUGGCCACAGCUGGUAUUGAUUACGAUGUUAAGCUUUGGGCACCGAUAAGCGAAGAGUCCAGCUUUGAUGAAAAGUUUGCGGAAGAUUUGAAAAAGAGGAAUGCAGUCAUGUUGGAAGAGACGAAAGACACAAUGACUGUACCGGCUGUUUUUAUGAUCAGAAUGCUGGCAUGUCUCAAUCAGAUACGCAGAGGUAGUGAAAACUUAUAAUACUUUCCAAGCCUUCCGGUAGUACACUACAUUAGUAUGACCAACGUAAUUAAGAGUAACAUAGUGAAGAAAUUCGGCUGCUUUUUCCCCCGAUUAACGCGCAGGACGCGGUCGGAACAGGAGGAGGAGCGGCGACGAGGCCGGCGAAUUACGAGGUGGCUAAGCUGCUUUUGGCGAUACUGUCGUCUGUGAAGAUCUCAACUGAGACAAUUUUUAUCGCAACGCCAGCUGAUCAGAUUUCGAAUUUACUUUCGAAACAAAAAGAAAAAAAAAAAAGGAAAAAUUACAAAAAAAAAAAAAAAAAAAAAAAUAGUAAAAUAAGAAUCAGGAAGAGAAAAAGAAGGAUUCAUAUAUUUAUGAUUUUCCGUUGCAAUACUACUUCACUGUUAAUUGUAAGGAUAUUUAAUCUGAUAAGCUUUGCGUACGUAUCAUUAUUGCAUCGAGAAAGAUAAGUCGAAUUUUUUUUCUUUACCACUUUUAUUUUCUGUCGCUUCUUUUCUUCUGACUCUGUUUAUACCGCGUGUUUGGUGUAUCAAGCUUGUGCAAUGUAAUUGUUUUUCUCGUCUUUCGAAUUUAUAGAGUUAUUAUGUUUGGAGAGGAAAAUACGAUAAGGUCAAAUAUUUUCGAUAUUUUAUACAGAAUUUUGGUGUCAGGUUCGGAUCUAUAAUUGGAACUAUAAUAUAAUACAUGUUAUUUAGGAUGCAAGUAAAGUGCACUUGUUGAUUAACUAAUUAUCACACAUGUUUCUCGAUAAUGUUACGCUGUUGUAGUUAACUGAUAAUUGAUCGGAAAUGCACUUUAUUCGUCCUCCCGUUAAACGACCCUUAGGGUGCACAAUAAGAUAAUAAAUAUAAUAUAAAUACUAGGGUUCCAUUUAAGAACCUGAACCUUGACAUUUUAUCUUCCUCGCCAAAUUAAACAACUUUAUAUCUCCGAACUUUUUAGAAACGGUUACGUAUUAUACGGUUAAAUUUAACGUUUUCGUGUAUUCUUUUCGUUAAUGUUCAAUUUAUAUGCAGUUCAAAGAUAAAAAAAUUCCACCGUGCCUAUUUCACGGUCACAUGUUUUCAUUUUCUUUUCUUUGUUUUCUUUUCCGUGUGAUGAAAUAACGAAAUUAACGAAGAUUGGCCGAUUUUUUGAGGUAACUUAUUGACACAUAGAGGAACAUAGGCAAUCGCUAAGUUUGUAGAUUCGUUCGCUCAGUUCGAUAAAGUAGGAAUGCUUGUGACGUAGAGACGCUUGCAGAGAGAUCGGAGAACGUUAAAGAAUGAUGUUCAGGCACUCGAAGGUUUCAUCAAGGGAGAGAAACGUCGUUGUAGGAUACCGUGGUGUACCGAUAUAUAUUCAGAGAAUUUAUUUAUAAUAAAAAUUCUGAAGAACGCAAACGCAUCUUCAUGUUCUUCUCCAUACACCUCCUCUUCCACGUGUUUCAAUAUUAUUUCAGUCGUUGAUGUCAUCGAAAAUACGUAUACAUAGAAGACUAACGACAAAGAAACGAAGGAGGGAGCAGGGGAUUUGAAACGUAAGCGGAGAAAAUAAAACGAAAUGCGAGGUUCAUUCAACAACAGAGUCUAAUUUAAUAACAAAAUAUGAACGCUGCAUUUGUAAUAAAAUUAACCGUAAUAUUAAUAAUCGUUAAAAUAAUAAUAAUAAUAAUAAUAAUAAUAAUAAAAUAAUAACUAUGGCGGCAUACAUAAUCGGUCGAGAUAACCAUAAUUAACAUAGGUAACGGAAUCCUAAUAUCGAAGAGGACGAAGCGUACGAGAUAUGUAGAUUCGCGUUACAAAUUACGAUCGCUAACGAAUCGACGGUUUUGGUUCACGAAAAAAGAAAAAUAUUUUACGACGUGUAAAAUGUGUGUCAGGACGUCGAACGUGUGAAACGAGAUCCCAGCAAAUAUCAGAAGUAAUUCGGUAACUGAAUACGUAAUCACUUACGUAAAAUAUAUUUAUACGUUUCAAGGAAACAAUUCGAUGACUUCGAUAAUAUUCAAAAUAAUUUUUUAACACGAUAGACGAAUUAUUGUUUCGUACAUAUGACGAAGAAGAGUAAUAUAUUGAAACAAAUAACGAUACGAAAAUGUUAUUUGAAAAUAUUUAACAGUCGGUUAAAGAUACUGUUUGCUGGGGUCUGUUCGAGCGUGAUCGACGAGAAAGGAGGAGGAGGGGAUAGGCAGGUAUUCGACCGAGGAACAACGAAUUGGAUGGAAAAAGAAAGGAACAUAAAACGCGAUGUUCACUGACGAUUACCUUAUCUGCCGCUCGUUUAUCGAACCGUCGUUUACCUAUCAGUCACCUAAAUUCGAACGUAUCUUUACAUAUGUAUUUGCGAGAGAGUUUAUCUUCUACUUGGUGAACCGUACGUCGACACGUGAUUAAUCACGAGAACUUGAUGGGAUAUAUUCAGUCGUAUAAUUGUAAUCAAUGAAAACGUUAUAGAACAUUUGUAAAAAUAGACAUGGUAAAAACAAAUAAUUAUAAUUGAAGGAUAGUCUCAGUUAAACAAGAUAAAUCAGAAAACAAUGAUUAUACCUUUUAGAUAAUUAAACGAUAUAGGAAUAAGUAUUUGAUGAAUAAUCGUAGUUAACUAGGAGAUUAGUAAUAUUUGUUAUCCAGACAAUUGGAUGACAUAGGAACAAAUAUUUGGAACAAAGUAAUCACAAGUAACGGUAAUAAUAAAAAAAAAAAAAAAAAAAAACAACAAAACGAAAUUAGUAACAAAAUGUGCGGUUCCGUAAGAACAGCUAAACGAUAAAUAGCUAAAACCGAAGAUGAUUAAAUGGAAGCUAAGAAUGUGAGAACGAGCGACAGACGAGGAAGAACGUGGUACGAUGCAGAACCGGAAGUGUAUAACGGGAACGGGUGUGUAUUUCCUUGUUUUAUUUCUCUGAACAUUAGGACAAAAUUGUAAUCAAUCGCUUAUCCGUUUACCGUAAAUCCAAUAAUGUCUGUAAUAAUGAAUUAGCGUUAUAUUAAAUGUACCGAUGAGAGAUUUUUUUUUCUUUUAAUAAUUCACACAUUUUUCUCUAUUCGACGCUCUCACUCCAUUCUCUCAUUCUCACACUCGCUCUAUCGUAUAUUCUCACGCAUUCUCACGCUGAUUUUCGUUCUUUCUUCCCUUUCCAGUUGGCGAUUCCACCAACAUGGGCGAGAUCGAUCGACGUUUCGUCCACAAAUGGAUCAAGGUUCGAGCUAAUCGUUAGAUCUACCAAAAGCCGGGCUUCGUAGAAACGCUCUUUCCCUUCGAAACGUUGAUUCGAUGCUUUCAAAUACGCGACACCGGAUAGAAUAGAGAAAACGGAAGCAGAAAACUUGAUCUACAAUCCUGCCGCGUCGGAUCCAUCGUCUAUCGAUCAUCGAUCGUCGUGUGACUUAACGAUUUCCACUUUAAAAAGCUUUGUGACGCUAAUAGAUCACGCUUUGUUAAUAGAACUAAGAGAUUAGAUUACUCUUAAUAUAAUUAGAUUACCGUGUAAUGCUUUUUUAUCGAUAAUAAUCUAUUGGAAGCUAAACUCGAUAUCGAAGCGGAUUAUAAAUCAGUCGUAAUCAAAGUGGGGAAAUCCUAGUCUAGAUAUUUCGAACGUUUUCAAGUCCUUCAAGUGGAAUUAUAGAAUUUACGCGGCGGUAGAUUACAAUAGAAAGCUACAUAUUACAAUUUAGGCGAAGAGAAAUGGAGAAUACCGAGAAGAUCGAUGAUCGAAACAUGAAUACUUCGAUCUGUACGCGAAAGAAUCGAGAAUUGUAGAAUUUUAGAAACUUCUUUCCCAGCGCAAAAAUUCGCUACUUUCCAGAUUCUAUGGAAUUUAUUUCUUUGAAGUUUUUAUUUAGAAAAUAGCGUAUUUCACGGGAAAUUAAUUUUCUCUAUCUGGUGUCCGUGAAUUUUCUUUCGUUUCGUUCUGUUUUCUCUCUCACUUUCUUACUCUUUUCUCUCCUCAUCGCAACGCUCAAGAAGUAAAAACACGAAUGUCGCGCGGAAUUCGCCAUCGUAGAUUGAAUAAUUCCUCUAAAAUGCGCGUGACGGUAAUCAUAGUAACAAUAACAAUGACAAUAUAAUAAUGAUGACAGUAAUAAUAAUGACAAUAAUAUCAAUAAGAAUAGUAGUGAACGUUUACAAUCUAUUACAUAUCAUAAUCUUUUUUUUUUUGUUCACAUUUUUCGUGAAUUUUUUUUUAUAUAAUUUUUUCGUUUUAGUCGGAGGGGACGUCGCUCAAGAUUUUAUUCGAGGCACAGUUGGAUCGCACGUCCGCUAAUAGAAUUCGUAUCUCUCUGCAUUUUUUUUUUUUUGGUUUUUUUCACUAGAUUUUCUUCGACGCAUCGUCCGCCAAUCGCGAAAUCGAAUGGAGGACUUCAUCGAACUCGUUUUGUAUUUUCUCUCCCGUGUAUGUGUGUAUCCGUGUGUGUGUUUCCUCUUUUUACCAUUUUCCAUCAUUCUUUUUUUGUUAAUUUUUAUCUUGCCUUCUAUGUAUGUUCUUUGCAUUUUUGUUCGCUCCUUUUUUCACUUUUUUUUUUUAACUUGCUUUUCACGUAUCGCGUAUAUUUUUUUGUUUUGUCUUAUUACAUUUUUGUCUUCUGGUUCCUUUAAGCUCGAAAUGGUUUGUUCUUCGUUUUACUAUUUUAGUUUCUUUUUGAACAACGUUCAAACGUUCGACCGUUCGACGCGCACGCUCGAUGAUAAAAAGUAAAGAUUAAAAAAUCGCACUGUCACGUGUGCGAUUAAUCUAUGUUUUAUUUUUUUCUUUGGCGAGUGUGCAUCGAUCGUCGACUAAGCGUUCCUUUGUAAUAUGUUUCCUUUCUUUUUCCUCUCGAUGUUGAAGCGUAGAAGAUAUGUAAGUGUAUCGACGCUGUUUUGAAACGAGAUCGUCUCGACAAUUCGAAACUUGUUAUUUAUCUCAUUAUUAGCACUAUUAAUUAGAUUCCUCUUUUCUAAUUAUUCGAGAUAAUACGCGUCGAAACCGGUCGAAUUCUGGCUGUGAGAUAUAUCGUCGAUCCGAAUUAGUCGGAUCCGGAAAUGUCGUGCAAAAUCAACCGAGCUGUACCUCAAUUGGAUUAUUAUGAAUCACGCGUACGCAUGCACAAAUAGACGCACGCACACGCUAAAAAGUUACGAUAAUUAAUAAUUCUAUAUUGCGUAGGUUAGGGUCGCAAAAAGUUACGGAACGAUAAAAAACCCUUCGAAACGCGGACCUUCGAAGUAGCGUAGAGACGAAAAGAGAGGUCAAAAUAGCCGAAGACCGCGUCUUUACGUUGCUUUCUUCUCGCAGCCGUCGUCUUUUAGUUUGUUUCGUCGAUUGUUAGGAACCACGGUUCCGUUCUUACUUUCUUUUUCUUUUUUUUUUUUUUUUUUCGUAAAAUAA